rnacentral:rRNA from 1 species
CCAAUAGCGUAUAUUAAAGUUGUUGCAGUUAAAAAGCUCGUAGUUGAAUUUCGGGAUCAAUAUAUCGGUCGUGCCUUCGGUACGUACUGGUAUCGUUGAUUUCUACCUUCUGACGAACCAUGAUGUCAUUAAUUUGGUGUCAUGGGAAAUCAGGACUGUUACUUUGAAAAAAUUAGAGUGUUUAAAGCAGGCACACGCUUGAAUACAUUAGCAUGGAAUAAUGAAAUAGGACGUUUGACCCUAUUUUGUUGGUUUUUAGGAUCGACGUAAUGAUUAAUAGGGAUAGUUGGGGGCAUUAGUAUUCAAUUGUCAGAGGUGAAAUUCUUGGAUUUAUUGAAGACUAACUACUGCGAAAGCAUUUGCCAAGGAUGUUUUCAUUAAUCAAGAACGAAAGUUAGGGGAUCGAAGACGAUCAGAUACCGUCGUAGUCUUAACCAUAAACUAUGCCGACUAGGGAUCGGAUGAUGUUAAUUUUUUAAUGACUCAUUCGGCGCCUUACG